AUUUUCAAUGAGGGCACGCAGAGAAAUGUGCAGGGGAAUGUGGGAAGGUGUGCGGCGAGAAUCCUGCUAGCGGAGCGGGAGAAAAAGUUGAGCUCUGCUCUAUGCAAAUUUAAAGCGAAGGAAAGCAUUGGAGCGAAGCGCCGCCUCUGGUCAAAACCCUACGCUAGGAGUUGGCAUGACAGCACAAAGAGAUCUGGGACCAGGUUAGAGGUAAAAGUAUUACUCUACCGGGCUUCGAAAUCAGCACAGAAAACCAUGGCAACAACAAAGCCUGGGUUUAACCUUGGACGGUCUUUGCACACACAUAAUGAACUUCAUCGACACACGACACGGUACAUGUCGCCCAUGUUAUUCUGUCAUUCACUAUCAACUUCGAGGGUACGCUGCUCUUCUGAUCUGUUCCUGCAUCAUUGCCAUUGGUUUAUUGGUCUCCAUUGCAGGAACAGCUAGCUUCCCAGUACAACUUCAGUGUUUACAAGCACAACCGCUACAGAUGGCAGAAGCGCAUUCUUCAGAUUGACUUCAACACCAAAAUGGUGUGCAGUAUAGAGAAAGGCACCGUAAAGCGGCAGCUGCCCUUCAAUGUGUUAAGAGCUGCGAUGACAGAGUUGGGGCCAAGCUCUCCGUCUCUUUCAGAGGAAGACAUGACUAUGAGCUGGAGGCCACGUCACUGGAGGACAAACACAAGAUGGAGAAAUCAUUCUGGACACGGGGAAAUGCUGGGAAGAUUGAAAUGGACACGUCACGCUUGUACGAGCAAUUUGCAGUUCAAGAUUUGGGAACAUUCGGUGGGAUCACCGAGCACAGCAAUAACUUCCACAUCAUGCUCAACACGAAGGUGGCACACAACUUUAGUAAGUAGCUCCUCAAUUACUUGAGGUGAUGCGAUGGACCAACUAUAUGCUCUUCAUUUGAAAUUAAUCUGGGGUUGCAUACAAGUUAUAUAUCAGACCCAUCAACAGAUUUCUUUGAAACUGCUUUGAGUUUUAGAAGAAGUAACACCUUUUGAAACCACCAGAUGGUAGCACUUAACAGGAAAGUCAAUGAGCUUUACAUUGGCUGUAAUGACUCACUCCAUCUGAUCUCUAUAUCACAUGUAUUUGCUUGUGAAAAGCUGCUAAACAUUUCGUACAGUAGCUACAUAACAAGACGCAAGAUAUAAACAACAGCAAAGCCUUAUUAGGUAAGUAUCGGAAUAGAAAUAGGCUUCGACCCAGAUGCGCAAUAUGCAUAAUGACAGUCAUUUAUUUAAUCUUUCAGCUUUCUCUAAAAUAUUCAUUUAUUCUGGGGGAAUACCUGAAUGGGUUAAUGCCAUGUGCCCUUCAUCACUAUUAACCCUGCUCCGCCCACAACCGUAAGGCUCUCCAGAGGGUAGUGAGGUCUGCACAACGCAUCACCGGGGGCAAACUACCUGCCGUCCAGGAC